UAGGGAAUCUUCGGCAAUGGGGGGAACCCUGACAGAGCAACGCCGCGUGAGUGAAGAAGGUUUCCGGAUCGUAAAGCUCUGUUGUUAAGGAAGAACGAGUGUGAGAAUGGAAAGUUCAUACUGUUACGGUACUUAACCAGAAAGGGACGGCUAACUACGUGCCAGCAGCCGCGGUAAUACGUAGGUGCCGAGCGUUGUCCGGAUUUAUUGGGCGUAAAGCGAGCGCAGGCGGUUAGAUAAGUCUGAAGUUAAAGGCAGUGGCUCAACCAUUGUAGGCUUUGGAAACUGUUUAACUUGAGUGGAGGAGGGGAGAGUGGAAUUCCAUGUGUAGCGGUGAAAUGCAGAGAUAUAUGGAAGAACACCGGUGGCGAAGGCGGCUCUCUGGUCUGUAACUGACGCUGAGGCUCGAAAGCGUGGGGCGCGAACAGG
rnacentral:rRNA from 1 species